AGCCAUUCCCUUCCUUCACCGUUGAAUUCUUAUUCAACACCAUAGAGUAAUUUUUUUUUCAAUUUUCAAUUUGUGCCCUCACCAGAGAGAAUGAAGAAGCUGUAACGGGAACCAUCAUCUUCUUCUUCGGUCUUACUGGUAAAUUUCUUUCCUUUCCAUCUCUACGUUUCCCUUUUUUUUCCUUUGAUUGCAGAGGAGACAAGCUGUAAAGGGAUUUCUAUUCCCUUCCCUCCUCACCUUUCCAUCUCUACGUUUCCCUUUUUGUCCUUUGUAUAUUGAGCAUCAAAAGGCAGUUACUAUAAGUAAUGAUUCAACUCACACUCAAAAAAGUUUAAAUUUG
rnacentral:lncRNA from 1 species